AAGAAACUACCAUGUGAUACAAUUGAAUCAACAAUCUGACAACAUUUAGACUUGGUUAGUGGAAGAAUAUUUAAAGAUAAUUCUGCUUAAGAUUGAAGUACUAUGUCCUUGUCUAAACCUUGCUGUUAUCAAUCGCUGACGGCGGUAAGUUUCUCCUUGAUGUGUAAAUAGGCUUUGUUGCAUCAUAGAAACUAAAACUUGGUGGCUGAAAUGAAAAAGAAAAAUUAGUUGGCCAUAUUAUUUACUGUAAACAAUCAUGUUUAAGAUUGUCAAAUGAGAUUGAUACAGGUGUCCAAUAGCCAGCUUUUAUCUUACUCAGAUUGUUUGAAGAAACAAGACCAUUUAAAGGCUAAAAACAUAUAGUUCUCUGAUUCUUACGUGUUCAGUGAGUGCAAGGUUUGCUUCAAAAAAGGAUCUGAUUGUACCAAUAUCUUCCCAGUAAUCAUUGAAUAAGUAAGCCUGCAAAAUCAGGUGAAGAAUGCUUUAGUCACCAUAGAGGUUGAAGUUAAGCUGUUUAGGAGAUCAUAGCCAGAAUAGUGAAUUGAAACAACAUUGAAUAUCUUGCCUUAUGAUGGAAACAAGAAGAUUGGAUGUCGUAGUAAAUUUUUUGAACAAACAGAUCAAGGUCUUGUGUAAAUGCCAAACAGAAAUGAAGUGGUACAAACCUUGACACAGAAUUCUUUGGCAGAGGCAGGAAUAAUCUCUGAACCAAAGUCAUUUGCUGUCGGAAAACGCCAUCUAAAAGAAGACAAAGAGUAAGCAGUUAAUGAUCUUCUUUUACCUGAUAUCUUCAGCAUGUUACUUGUUUUAUAAUAGCCACCACAAUUUGCUUCUUUUGAACGUAGCUGCCCCUAUUAUCUGGAUGACUAUGAUUUCUUGUUUUUUCUGGCCCGCUUUCUCCAAAAUUUCUAUCAUUUGCAUGUUGACCAUGACACCUUCUAAAAUAAGGUACUAUAGAAGAAGAAGCUCGUUACAUACCUUAAGAGAUUUAGGAGAAUCUCCUUCUUGAAGACGUAAACUCCCAUUGAAGCAAUGUAAGGUUUCUUUUUAGCCUCUUCCGGGGAUAAUCCCAGAACAGAUGUGUCUACUGCCUGAAGUACUUGUUGUCAAUUGAUUGCAGCAACUUAAAAUUUUUGAAGUAGGUUAAGCUCUGAGACUGUCAAAUUUUCAAGAAUUACCAUCGCCUUCAAGUCAUCUCCUUUUGGCUUUUCGCUGAAGGACAGGACCCGUCCUGUGUCAUCAAUUUUCAUCAAGCCAAAAUCUGAAGCACGUCUAUCAUGAAAACAUACAAGUGAUUCAGUAGAAGAAAUUAUGUUUUGUAGUGAUUAUCAAAGCAAUACUUGACAUAGCAUGCCAUUGCUGAGAGGAAGAAUAGCCUAUCUAGGAUUUUGAUUAUCCCUCUUAAACUACCUGUCGUCUAUUGGCAAGCUUGAUAUGGUAAUGUCUGCACCACUUUUCCUAUGACUCUGUCAAGAAGUGGAGAUGGAUUUUUUCACUUUUGAGUAAUAGACAAUCUUUCCGAGAAAAUGAUAUCAAGCAAGGUAUAUAUUAGUCUAUAGCCUUACCUGAACAAAGUCCAUGUAGUCCAUUCUAUACAAGUGAUCUCCAGAGAGAAUGAGCACAUCUUCUAUGUCCUUGCUUCUUUGAUCCUUCAGUUAUGAAAAUCAAUGUGAAUUUCAUUAACUGAUGUCUACUAUUAAGCCAUAUGAUGAGAUAAUUGUGGUGAUGGUCAUAGCUGAGCGUGGAGAACAUAUUGCUUGUAUUUACAUGCUGUUAAGUUCUGUAUUUUUCGCAUGUGAUUAAGUUUUCCUGGAAGUAAACUGACACAGCUCAGUUAACUUGAUCUUGCAUAUGUCAUUUUUUUCAUUGUGCAAGUUACUGCUGGACCUUGUUCAGUCUAAAGGUUGAGUUGUGGUCAUAUACUAUUGAAAUAUCCUGAUACAACAUAUGAAUAUAUGCAUUUCAAUGCCUCUUCAGAUCAAUUGUUACAUAUUGAAGAAAAACAUGGGAGGAAGAUAAAAAGAAACCUGAGAGGAAGGGCAUAUUGAUACGAACUAAUAUAUGAAUAUCAGGAAGACAAAAAUGUUGCAGUGCAGGAAUCUGGAGUUAUUUUCACUAUUGGGAUAAACUGGGGCUAUCAACGUGAACGAGAGAAAAACAAAGCCCAUUACUCGAUCAGGGGAUCUAAGCC
rnacentral:lncRNA from 1 species